rnacentral:rRNA from 1 species
CACGUAGGGUGCGAGCGUUGUCCGGAAUUAUUGGGCGUAAAGCGCGUGUAGGCGGCUGACUAAGUCCGCUCUGAAAGCCCGGGGCUCAACCCCGGGAGGCGGGUGGAUACUGGUCAGCUCGAGUCCGGAAGAGGAGUGUGGAAUUCCUGGUGUAGCGGUGAAAUGCGCAGAUAUCAGGAGGAACACCAAUGGCGAAGGCAGCACUCUGGGACGGUACUGACGCUGAGACGCGAAAGCGUGGGGAGCGAACAGG